UGGGGGAUAUUGCACAAUGGGCGAAAGCCUGAUGCAGCGACGCCGCGUGGGGGAUGAAGGCCUUCGGGUUGUAAACUUCUUUUGCUCUGAACAAGGCGCACCAUGGGGUGUGUUGAGUGUAGGGGUUGAUUAGCGCCGGCUAACUACGUGCCAGCAGCCGCGGCAAUACGUAGGGCGCGAGCGGUGUCCGGAAUUAUUGGGCGUAAGGGCUUGUAGGUGGCUGGUUGCGUCUGUCGUGAAAGCUCAUGGCUUAACUGUGGGUUUGCGGUGGGUACGGGCUGGCUUGAGUGCAGUAGGGGAGGCUGGAAUUCCUGGUGUAGCGGUGGAAUGCGCAGAUAUCAGGAGGAAUACCGGUGGCGAAGGCGGGUCUCUGGGCUGUUACUGACACUGAGGAGCGAAAGCAUGGGGGGCGAACAGG
rnacentral:rRNA from 1 species